AUCUGAGCCACCGUCAGGUAUGUUCUCAGUGUGCCACCAAGGAAUAAUUGUUGUGAACCUGGCAGGAAUCAGGUGACAGAAGCUUCUGUGGCUCUUGUGUUCCAGGUGUGUCUGCAGGGAGGACUUGUCCAGCUGCUUUGCUGAUUCCUACACAAAAGCCCAGCUCCCAUGGCAGAGGUCCUCCGAGGGGAAAGAACAAAUCUACAGGACACCAGAAACACCAUGAGCCAUCCAAAAACAUGAGGCAAAUGCUGAAAGAAUUGCUGCAGGGAGGACAAGAAGUGGAUGCAGAGGCUGGGCAGAAGGCGGUGUUUCCUGAAGGAAGCAGUGGUUCCAUGCCAGCAUCUGCUGUAGGACUGGAGGUGAUGCCAGGCACAGUCACAGGAGGU